UCCCCAGUGGCUUAGACCGUAAAGAAUCUGCCUGCAAUGCAGGAGACCCAGGUUCAAUCCCUGGGUUGGGAA
rnacentral:tRNA from 1 species